rnacentral:lncRNA from 1 species
CGGUUCUCAGUGAUACAAUUAUUUAGGGGAGCCUCAAGUUAAACUGUCCUCAAAUUUAAAAUGCAAUUACUAAAACUACAGGAACCAAGCAAAAAUGAGUUGGCAUAAAUGUCCAUGGGAAAGCAUACUGCAGGCUUCACUAAUAUGUAACAUCACCUUGCUUUAUGGGUUUCAUGUUUCCAAGUCUGUAUUGUAGUAACCCCCCCAAAGAACCUGCCCAGAGAGAAGGGGCCAUCUGCCUAAUGAGACUUCAAUUCAUUUCAAUCCACUUCAGAACUGACUUAGAAAGAUAAAGUGGGACCCAAACCCAGUAGUGUGUAUUUCUAUACCAAAUGGCCUUUGUUUUCAGUAGAUGUUUAAACUUAUGAAGUUGUUAGCUGAAAGCGCCAGGAAGGGGGAAGGUGGGAAUCUUUCUUCCUCUUAACUUCUUGAUGAGUACUGUCCAAGCAGGCUGAGAAGGCAAAUAUUCAAUAUGAAUUGUAACUCACUUUGCUUUGGUUUUGGAGGCUUCCCUUAAGAAAAAAGAAAUUUGUUAAUAAAUGAUUUUAAAAAAAAACCCCACAGAACAGCAAGGUUAAAUUAUUGAGG